rnacentral:lncRNA from 1 species
AACUUGAAGUGUUCAGUGAAAGCAGUGUUGUUCAAAGAGAGAAAGUACAUCCAUGUACACUACAACAUGAACCCCAUGCAAGUGAAGUUGAGAUUCAAGCAGGUGGCUACUCAACAGAAGUAGAUUUCCCUUUCAAAAAGUCGGAUUGUUACAUUUCUGAAGUCGAUAUUAACUUUAAUUCACCAGGUCAACCCUGAGGAAGAAAACGUCAGAUGGUAUGUUUUGCUGACAUAGAGACAGAGUCUGACUCCUCUCAUUGCUUUGAAGCUGUAUCAUGUACGUGUAGAAGGAACUUCAGCAAAAAGCGAAAUGCAGCCUGUCUGGAAUUAGCGGCAAUACUGAGAAUGAAAUGCUGCAGAAGUUAUUGUCUUCAUAAGAUAUAAAGAAUAGAUGCAAGGCCCGCAGAGGAUUUCAGAACAAGACUCUAGCAGAUCAGAGGCUAUGGAUUUUGCAGUACCUUAUUGAACAUCACAACUUUGUAAACAUGGAUGGAGACUCAUCCUUGGGAUUACUAUGACCCGCUUAUGGAAGAUGGAGUCAGGGUUAGCAGAAGGAUUGGUGACAUCUCGUCCAUCAAAUCACCAUCGUAAAGGACUUUGUUCUUUGUCUGUGAUGAUGUCAAUGGUGUGGCUUAGUGAAUUUGUCGAUAAGUUUGGAGAGAAACUGCCAACCAACAACAAAAUCCAUCUUCUUCAUGCCUUAUACAUGGAAAUGUGUAUCGGAUUAUGAAGGAGGAUGUAGAAGAGCAAGGAGGUUCUGUUUGUAGUCAGCAAUACUUCUUCCGCAAAUGGAGAAUGGAAAUGUCUCAUGUUACCAUUCCAAAGGUGAACCGGUUUUUGAAAUGCGACAUAUGCACCAAACUGAAAUCUUGCCUAGAGAAGACAACUGGCAGAGAAGAGAGACAAACUUUACUGCAAGAAAGAGAGUCACACCUUUUCCAGCAAAAGUCCAUCUAGGUACUAAGCAGAAAAGGCCUCAACAUCCAUUAUUAAAACUGGGAGAUACGGUUGCAGUCUACUUAGAAGAGUUCAGUAAUGAGUGGCCGUGAGUGAGCAAAGUGUUAGAAAUGACUGGAGACAGUGUGAAGCUGCAUUAGUACUCAGGAUCAGAAACGUCCACGUGGAUAUCGCCUACCACAUCAGUUCGAGGACAGAAGGGUCAGCUGUACACGGGAGAAGUCUCUCUUCAAGAAGUCAUUUCUUUCCCCUACAGUCUCACUAAAACAAACAAAUUACCAUAGGAUAUCCAGCGUCACGUGAAGAAUACUUUGCAUGUUAGGUCUGUAUGAACAUACACUGUAUUCAUACCAAUUUGGAAUGAGUUUGUUUAUCCAGGACUCAAAAGCUGUAUGUCUAUAUGGAAGCCACUUGAAUUAUGUGUUUUUGUGAUAUUACAAUGUACCUAUAUUUUUCCACAUUGGAUAUGGGGAUAAUUUCCAGGGUUUAUCUUCACAUGAGUUUGAUCACCUACAUGUAUCUACAUUUAGAAGAGAUAAAUGCACAAUGAUUGAUAGAGAGUUGGUACCUGAAGUAGGUAAUGAUUUAACUCUAAAUAGACUGGGCUAUUGCUACGCCUAAGAAGACUGGGGGGGGCUGAUUCAGCC